CCUCGGAAGGUACACCCCUGUCAAUCCUUCCUGGCCACGGGUCUCAUGGGAUGGGAGGUCAGAGCGGUACCAUUUUGGCCAUAGAGCCCAUCAACAUAACUCUAGGAAUUCCUCUUUCUUUCAAACUUGACAACCUAGUUUUUAUUUGCAACAUUCAACAUCAUCUUGCUGCACCACCACAACUGUUCAGACACUACAAAAAAUAAAUUGAUAUAGUAGUUUUUCUGGAUUAAAUGAAGGGCCGCCACCAUACCAGCCUUCAUUACCAGCACGGCUCAGCUGCCCGACACAACUACUGCACCACCUCGCAUCAAGCACAGCCUCUCAUCCAUAAGAUGGAGGAUGUGGCGAGGUGUGGUCCUUGGCGGCAGCAGAAUGUCAACACAACAACACUUCAACUAACCAACCUCCUCAACCAGAACCACAGACGUAGGAAAUAACGACGUAUCCUGCCUCCUGCCCAGACUUUCGCUCAGCCAGGCUUCACAUUCAACACCCACAAGCUGUUUCUCGUCUGUUAAACCAUCUAAAAAGAAAAGAAAAACAUGCAGGGGAAAUAAUUGUAUGGAAACAUAUACGACAAUAAAUCCAAGUAUCUCACACUGUAGUUAAUUAGUGUUCCUCAUAUUACGAUUUAUCAGUCAAUAUUAUUACCUGUACUCCAAUAGUAU